rnacentral:rRNA from 1 species
CAACGCCGCGUGAAGGAAGAAGGUCUUCGGAUUGUAAACUUCUUUGAUCAGGGACGAAGAAAUGACGGUACCUGAAAAACAAGCCACGGCUAACUACGUGC